rnacentral:rRNA from 1 species
GACGAACGCUGGCGGCGUGCUUAAUACAUGCAAGUCGAACGGACAGGCCAUGCUCUUGUGGGUUGCUCGAGUGGCGAACGGGUGAGUAAAACGUGAGUAAACUGUACUUGUCAUUGGGAUAAAUUCUGGAAACUGGGGCUCAUAUCGGGUAGGAGCUCCUGCUGCACGGUGGGGGAUGGUAAGUUACGGUGGUUGGGGCUGUUAUCGAGGGGUAUCAGCUUGUUGGUGAGGUAGUGACUUAACAAGUGUAUGAAGGGUACGCGGCCUGAGAGGGUGAUGGGCCACCCGGGAACUGAGACACGGUCAAUACUACUACGGGAGGCAGCAGUAGGGAAUGUUCCGCAAUGGGCGAAAGCAUGACGGAGCAAGGCCGAGUGAGUGAUGACGGCCUUGGGAUCGUAAAGAUCGGCUAUUAGGGGAAAACCACUGUGGACUGAGAUGAGGCCGGAUUGACGGUACCUAGUAAGAAAGCACCGGCUAACUACGUG